rnacentral:tRNA from 1 species
ACGAGCUGGUGGACGGCCCGAUCCCGGUGCCGCCGGAGCUGGCGCUCGCCAUCGCGCGCCGGGAGAGCGAGUUCAAUCCCGAGGUCGUC